rnacentral:rRNA from 1 species
AACGAACGCUGGCGGCAGGCUUAACACAUGCAAGUCGAACGCCCCGCAAGGGUAGUGGCAGACGGGUGAGUAACGCGUGGGAACAUACCCUUUUCUACGGAAUAGCUCUGGGAAACUGGAAUUAAUACCGUAUACGCCCUACGGGGGAAAGAUUUAUCGGGGAAGGAUUGGCCCGCGUUUGAUUAGCUAGUUGGUGGGGUAAAGGCCUACCAAGGCGACGAUCCAUAGCUGGUCUGAGAGGAUGAUCAGCCACAUUGGGACUGAGACACGGCCCAAACUCCUACGGGAGGCAGCAGUGGGGAAUAUUGGACGAUGGGCGCAAGCCUGAUCCAGCCAUGCCGCGUGAGUGAUGAAGGCCUUAGGGUUGUAAAGCUCUUUCACCGAUGAAGAUAAUGACGGUAGUCGGAGAAGAAGCCCCGGCUAACUUCGUG